AUUGAACGCUGGCGGCAGGCCUAACACAUGCCAGUCGAGCGGAUGAAGGGAGCUUGCUCCUGGAUUCAGCGGCGGACGGGCGAGUAAUGCCUAGGAAUCUGCCUGGUAGUGGGGGAUAACGUCCGGAAACGGGCGCUAAUACCGCAUACGUCCUGAGGGAGAAAGUGGGGGAUCUUCGGACCUCACGCUAUCAGAUGAGCCUAGGUCGGAUUAGCUAGUUGGUGGGGUAAAGGCCUACCAAGGCGACGAUCCGUAACUGGUCUGAGAGGAUGAUCAGUCACACUGGAACUGAGGCACGGUCCAGACUCCUACGGGAGGCAGCAGUGGGGAAUAUUGGACAAUGGGCGAAAGCCUGAUCCAGCCAUGCCGCGUGUGUGAAGAAGGUCUUCGGAUUGUAAAGCACUUUAAGUUGGGAGGAAGGGCAGUAAGUUAAUACCUUGCUGUUUUGACGUUACCAACAGAAUAAGCACCGGCUAACUUCGUG
rnacentral:rRNA from 1 species